rnacentral:snoRNA from 1 species
CUGCAGCCAAUUAAGCCGACUGGGUUUCUUUCCUCGUGGGGGCCCAGUGUGCAAUGGCUGCAAACAGCAGCUUCCUUGGUAGUGCAUGCAGCCUGUUUCCUGUAUGGGUUGCUCUAAGGGACCUUGGAGACAGGC